GAACCGUGCGAACGUUGUUCGGAUUCAUUGGGCUUAAAGGGCGCGUAGGCGGGUUCCCAAGUCGGGGGUGAAAGCCCACAGCUCAACUGUGGAAGUGCCCCCGAUACUGGGAGUCUGGAGGGAGGUAGGGGUGUGUGGAACUUCCGGUGGAGCGGUGAAAUGCGUAGAUAUCGGAAGGAACGCCGGUGGCGAAAGCGACGCACUGGACCUCUUCUGACGCUGAGGCGCGAAAGCCAGGGGAGCAAACGGGAUUAGAUACCCCGGUAGUCCUGGCCCUAAACGAUGGGUACAAGGUGGUGGGCCGGCAUGGGCUCACUUCCGAAGCGAAAGUGCUAAGUACCCCGCCUGGGGAGUAUGGUCGCAAGGCUGAA
rnacentral:rRNA from 1 species